rnacentral:lncRNA from 1 species
GGGGAUACAGGGACAUGGCAACACAAGAACAUGGGGACACGGGGACGCGGGGACGUGGGGACACGGGGACAUGGGGACACGGGGACAGGGGGACACGGGGGCAGGGGCAUGGGGAGGCCGCCCCCCCUCCGCUCCCUGCCCGCAGGAGCCGGCGGCGGUCCCGGGCUCGGGCUCGUCCCCGCCGCCGCGUUGGGUCUGGCGGUGGGUUUUGGUGGCAUCUCUCCGUUUCGUUUUUAUUAUUUUUUAAGCCUAAAGGGGUGGUAGUUUGCCGGCAGAAGAGGAAUAAAUGACCCCCCCCCCCCCUCCUUCCGUACGUGUUGUGGGUGCUGGGUCCGUGAAUGCGAUUCCUCGGGAGAUUAAAGUCUAAAUUAAAGCGUGCUGGAAAACGCUGGCUCCUGCCGUAAUAGUAAUAGCGAUAAUAAUAAAAUGACAGAAUUGGGAGCGAUUUGCGUGCUAUUGAAGAGGAGGAAUUGCUGAAGAGUAAUAAUAGAAAAGAAAACAAGUCGGAAGCCCGUUAUAUAAUGCACUGUGUAGAUAACAAGAACGACGGGCUAUUUUUAUUUUGUUUACCGUAUGCCGUGUAAUAGGGACUCCUCCAAGCAGCAUCUCUCUCCCCCGAGCCCGAGCUCCGGCUAGGAUCGGGCAAAAUUCAGAUCGUUCCUCCUGUGCCCAGCUGGAGAAACUGGGGUUUGUAAAACGUUCACCCUCGCAAACGUUUUCUUUGUGCGGAUGGGGAAUUGUGCAGGUACAUGACCUUUGCUUGGAGACCUUCUCCGUUUCAUAUGGUAAAGAAAUUCAUAUUUUGCAAGGCAGGUUACACUUUAACCUUUAAUGCUCACGGUUAUGUGUUUUAUGCAGUAAGGGUUACUUUACGUGUCAGAUGUGGUCAGGCGUAGUGAGUUGCUUUGCUUACAUACUGGGAAGUCAAGGACUUUUAAUUUCAGUUUCGAACGAAGCCUUCCACUACAGGAAAAUCCAGGCUUUGCCUCCAUCCCUUUCUGCUGGGCUGGUGCAGGCAGUUCAGUUCCCUGGCGAGGGCUAUGAAUGGGGGAGAGGGAAAUUGAGGAUGGCCGGGGAAGGCGCAGUCAUUUUGGAGAUGCUGCGGGCUAAUACUUCUGGAUCAAGAGUCACGUUGCAGGCCAAGCCAGACGGGAAAGCAAUACAAGCUGUGAAUUUAUUGUUGACCCCUGUAGCACAGUGA